UAAAGGAAUGUGGAGUCCGCCACUUUGGUGGAUCCCAUUUACAUUGACUAAAGUGUUGAAUGCGUUAUCUAGUGACGUUAAACCUAGUUUCAUAGUGUUCUUCAACUCUAUUUCUUCCUCACUUCCCUCUGUUUUCCUUUUUGCAUUAGUUAGAUAUGUUUUCUUGACUUUUAUUCUCUCUUUCAGGCCUUAAGUGACUUUCCAUGGUCUCUUAAGAUCGAUCGUAUUCCCGUAUGAUCAAUCGCGUCUCUCAUGCCUUAGAAAAUUUUCUGAAAAAGCCCAAAAUGUGUUCUCUGGCGAUCGAUCGUGCCUGCAUAAGAAAAAUUCUCUGCACAUGCUUCAAAAUCAGCUAUCUGGGGAUCGAUCGUGCUUUGGUAGGAAUGAUUGUAUUUCUCAUGCCUUAAAAAAUUUAUGAAAAUCCUAAAAACUAGUUCUCUGGCGAUCGAUCGUAUGGCAAAAUAGGAUCGAUCGUGGUUGUAUAGAAAAAUUCUCUGUAGAUGUCUUAUAAUAUGCUCUCUGUUGAUUAAUCGUAUGAAUUUCCAUGACCGAUCAUUGAUUAUGUGCUCAGUCACAGCUGCUCUGCAAUUAUUGCUCUCUGGCGAUUGAUCGUGUUCAAGACAGGAUCAAUCGUGCUGUUCUCAUUUCCUCUGAAAUUCCAUCGAUCAUGCUAGGACAAUCAAUCUUAUUCAAAACACGAUCGAUCGUGCAGCGGCAGUGUGUUUUAAAACACUAUUCUGGCCCUAUUCUCUUCCAUUUUUCCCGAAGCCCUAAGCUAAUCUCUUUCUCCCUCGCGCCUCCUCCACCUUUCUUCAUCCCCUCUCAAGCUUUGGAAGCUCGAUUUGAGCACGAAAAUAACAGCAUCGCCUCUACCGUACUUCUCCUCUUCAUCCUCCUCGCGGUUUUCUCUCUCUACCUCUCGGACUUCUUCAUCUCUCAUUCCGGUGUUUAUACCAAAAAUAAGUUAAUUCAGCAAAAUAAGAGCUUAAAAGAAGCAAUCUCAAGCUGAAUGGAAGAAAGGAGCAAAGUGGAAGCAAAGUGUGGAAAAAUAGCAAGUUCGAUCAAUCUCAAUAAUUCUUCGAUCGAUCUCACAUUGAUCGAUCUAGACAUUUCAAGAUAGAUCCAAGCCUUUGUCCUUAUCCAAAAGAUUCCACCAUCUUCAAUUGAUCCAGCUUUUCUCAGAUCAAUCGAAAUUGUUUGAUCUUAUCCUCACCUACCACCGCACCUACCACUUUUGUCUUUUUCCCAAAAUAUCCCAAAACAUCUCAGAGAUUUGUCUUCAUUCAAAAAGGCACCGCCAAGGAUGAUUGAUCUCUACAGCAUUUGAUCGAUCUCACCUAAGUUCAAUCGAUCUCACCAAAGUUCGAUCGAUCGAACCUCCUCAAGUCCGAAAUAAAACAGAGUCCAGCUCAUUAAAAGAUGGCUCAUGGUGCAAUCAUUGCAAGGACUUUAGUGCACAAGUCCAGACCAUUGGGUGUGACACUUGAGCCUUCUAUAUAAGGAUUUAGAGCAUUUUAAGAGCAUAAUUUCAUCAACAUUCAUCAUACUUACACAUCUCAUAUCACAUAUCUUGGAGAGGAGGCUAGAGACUACAGAGAUCUUUACACAUUUUGGGAGUUCUUCCAUUCUUCUAGGGUUUUCAUCAAGAAGGAGGUCAUUCCUACCAUAGAGAUAGCCCUUGAGGGUUGGAUGACUACUUCAAUGAGUGGCUAGACAUCUACUUGGGGCGAGAGUAGCCCCUAAGUUUGCUUCCUAGACCUAGUGUUUUGUAUAUUUUUGGGGAUUUACUUGUAAUAAAUGUUUUGAUCUUAAAUUUA